rnacentral:rRNA from 1 species
CCUACGGGUGGCAGCAGUGAGGAAUAUUGGUCAAUGGACGUAAGUCUGAACCAGCCAUGCCGCGUGCGGGAAGACGGCCCUAUGAGUUGUAAACUGCUUUUAUGCGGGGAUAAACGUGAACACGUGUGUAUGUCUGCAAGUACCGUACGAAUAAGGAUCGGCUAAUUCCGUGCCAGCAGCCGCGGUAAUACGGAGGGUCCGGGCGUUAUCCGGAUUUAUUGGGUUUAAAGGGUGCGUAGGCGGAUUGUUAAGUGUGCGGUGAAAUGUCCGGGCUCAACUAGGGAAGUGCGGCGAGUACUGGUGACCUUGAGAGUACGGGAGGCAGGCGGAAUGCGUGGUGUAGCAGUGAAAUGCUUAGAGAUCACAAAGAACACCGAUUGCGAAGGCAGCUUACC